CCUACGGGAGGCAGCAGUAGGGAAUAUUGGGCAAUGGGCGAAAGCCUGACCCAGCGACGCCGCGUGAGGGAUGAAGGUCUUCGGAUUGUAAACCUCUUUCAUGUAGGGAAGAAGCGAAAGUGACGGUACCUAAAGAAGAAGCACCGGCUAACUAUGUGCCAGCAGCCGCGGUAAU
rnacentral:rRNA from 1 species